rnacentral:rRNA from 1 species
UGAGGAAUUUUGCGCAAUGGGGGAAACCCUGACGCAGCAACGCCGCGUGAGUGAUGAAGGCCUUCGGGUCGUAAAGCUCUGUCAAGUGGGAAGAACCUGCUCUGUGAUAACACCAUGGGGCACCGACGGUACCACUGAAGGAAGCACCGGCUAACUCCGUGCCAGCAGCCGCGGUAAUACGGGGGGUGCUAGCGUUAUUCGGAAUCAUUGGGCGUAAAGGGCGCGUAGGCGGUCUUUUAAGUCAGAUGUGAAAGCCCUCGGCUUAACCGAGGAAGUGCAUUUGAUACUAAGAGACUUGAGUAUGGGAGAGGGAAGCGGAAUUCCUGGUGUAGCGGUGAAAUACGUAGAUAUCAGGAGGAACACCGGUGGCGAAGGCGGCUUCCUGGACCAAUACUGACGCUGAGGCGCGAAGGCGUGGGGAGCAAACAGGAUUAGAUACCCUGGUAGUCCACGCAGUAAACGGUGAACACUAGGUGUAGCGGGUAUUGACCCCUGCUGUGCCGAAGCUAACGCAUUAAGUGUUCCGCCUGGGAAGUACGGCCGCAAGGUUA